CUCAGAGAGAAGAGACAUCAUACUCAAAAGCAAGUGCAGACCCGCCGGGGAACCAGGGUUUCUGCCCUGAAACCCAGGCACUUCCUCCACUCUGCCAAGCAAGGUGUCACCAUUUCAGACACUGUCCGCUGAGCUCGAAAAUUCUGAGGGACAAGAGCGACUUUGGGUGCAGCUUUGAUAUCGUGCCAUUGAAUAAGUCCAGGCUGGACCUUGGGUCACGUGGUGGAAUGAACUAACAACAAUUUUGAUACCUUCUUUGCUGUAAUUAGAGAAAUGUAAAACAAAACACAUCAAUAUUUACCUUUCGCUUUUUAGCAGCUCCAUUUGUCCCAGGGACAGUUUCACACAGGCGACUUAUUGCUUCCCUAUAGAACAGAAACCAUAGAAAUACUUAGCAUAUCACCUACACACUGUAAGCAUUCAAGAAAUGCUAGCAUUAUUAUGACCAGCAAGUAUGCAGACAUAAACAGUGAGGCUGCCAUAAAUGACCUUCCUGUGGCCCCACAGGAGAAAACACUGCGCUUAGUCUCAUCUGCAGUUAGUUCAAACUCAGGGAGACCUAGCAAUACCCUAAUAUUGAAAAACUGCUUUCCAACAAGGAAUCCUACUAAUCUUUUUACUCAUUAAUUUUUUUCCUUAGAUUUUCAGAUUUGAUUUUUUUGAUUUUAUUUAUAUAUGACAGUGGAAUGCAUUACAAUUCUUGUUACGCAUAUAGAGCACAAUUUUUCAUAUCUCUGAAUGCCAAAUGCUUUCUUUGAUAUAAGAAGACUGACUCAUAGUGGGAUAGGGAGAGAGAUCAUGGGAGGAAUAGACAAACUCUAGAUAGGGCAGAGGGGUUGGAGGAGAAGGGAAGGGGCAUGGGGUUAGAAAUGAUGGUGAAACAUGAUGAUCACUAUUAUCUGAAGUACAUGUAUGUAGACACAAAUCGGUGUGAAUAUACUUUGUAUACAACCAGAUUUGAUUUUUUUGUCGUUGAUUUUUUAACCAAAAAGGAGGGGCCAACCUUUGUCUUCUGGGAAUACUUCACAAUUUUUCCUUUAGCAAAAUCCUCACUGUGGUUCAUGGUUAUUUCAGCACCAAAGACAAUUAAAAACAAACAAAUACAACACUAGAAGAAGUUUGAAAGGAUAGGGAGAGCAUUGGACUUCAAGGUGGGCUCAAAUGGAGGCUUAUUGACUAAGUAACUGCUACACACCAUUGAG
rnacentral:lncRNA from 1 species